AUGUCGCGCCUCUCGCCACCGUCCACUGGUCCCGCCGCCAACGCACCAGCGCCAACAACUCCCGCCGACGCCCCCGCAGCAGCACCAGCCGUCGAUUCCAUGGCCGCUCCCGCCAACUCCGGUGCCGCAUCAGAAUCUGUUCCGUUUCCCCUUUUUCUUUCUUUUUUUGGUCGUGUCUGUCCGCUCCUUGGUAUUGGUGUGGUUGGCCUUCCAUUACAAUUCCCAAAGCAAGCAAAGCGAUGCGCGUGGGAGGCGCACUCGCUUCUCCUCCGUCACGAUCAUGGCCGCCCACGACCCCACGCCGCUCCCGUGGCCGCGCCCGGCGCCCGGCGCCCCUCCUACCUCGCCCUCACGCGCCUCCCGCCCGCCGCGCCUCUGUCCGCGCUCCUGAUCGCGCACCCUCCUCCUGCUCCCCGCGGCGAACCCACCACCACCAGCAGCUGCGCCGGGUUCUACGCCGGCGCGCGGCGUUUCCGCGUCGGUUGAGGAGUUCGGCGGCGUUCCGGCGCGCGGUGGCGGAGCUGGACGAGAGGGCCAGGGGCGGCGGCGGACGAGGAGCCAGGCUGGAGGUGCCGCCGGGGAGGUGGCUCACGGGAAGCUUCAACCUCACCAGCCGAUUCACCCUCUUCCUGCACCAAGGCACGGUCAUCCUCGGCUCCCAGGAUCCAGAAGAGUGGCCUCUCAUUGCCCCUUUGCCAUCUUACAGGCGUGGAAGGGAACGAUUGGGGCCACGCCAUAUCAGCCUCAUUCAUGGAGAGGGCUUAAAUGAUGUUGUUGUUACUGGCAACAAUGGGACCAUAGAUGGCCAAGGAGAGAUGUGGUGGGAGAUGUGGUGGAAUCGAACUUUGAAUUACACAAGGGGCCAUCUUGUCGAGCUUGCGAACUCAACCAACAUCCUAAUCUCUAAUAUCACACUACGCAACUCCCCAUUCUGGACAGUGCAUCCAGUCUACAGCAGCAACGUGGUGAUCAAGGGUUUGACCAUACUGGCUCCCCUAAAUGCUCCAAACACUGAUGGCAUUGAUCCAGAUUCGAGCUCAGAAGUUUGUAUUGAGGACUGCUAUAUUGAAAGCGGAGAUGAUCUAGUAGCUGUCAAAAGUGGCUGGGAUCAGUAUGGGAUCUCUGUUGGCAAACCAAGUACAAACAUUGUCAUCCAGAGGGUUUCAGGCACAACUCCAAUGUGCUCAGGUGUAGGUUUUGGAAGCGAGAUGUCAGGAGGCAUAUCUAAUGUGCUUGUCCGUGACCUCCACGUGUGGAAUUCGGCACAAGCAGUGAGGCUGAAGACCGACGUAGGGCGGGGUGGGUACAUAACCAACAUCACCAUAACCAAGGUGACAAUGGAGAAGGUCAAGGUACCGAUAAAGUUUAGUCGGGGUGCAGAUGACCAUUCAGAUGACAACUAUGACCGAACCGCACUGCCAAGGAUCAGUAAUGUGCUUAUCAGUGGUAUUGUCGGUGUUGACCUGCAGCGUGCGCCAAUGCUGGAGGCAGUGGCUGGUGCAGUUUAUGAAGGGAUAUGCUUUCGGAAUGUUAGCUUAAGAGGCAUAAGGCGGCAGGGUAGAUGGCAUUGUGAGUCCGUGUACGGAGCGGCGCAUGGAGUUUUCCCUGCACCCUGUGAAGAGUUGAGGAAGAAUCGGUCUUCAUCGUGGUGUGGAUUUUCAUGACCAGUUGUACAGAUUACAGAAGUCAGAAGUUUCUCUCAGUGACUGAUACUUGAAAUGUAGGGUAUUCAUAUUGGUGUGCCAGGAAGGAAGGAUAGGACAUAGGGUUUUGGGAUAGACAGAUAGUAUAGUCAAAUUCAACAUUUACUCAUUUAGCCUUAGUCUUCUAGCAUUUUAAAGGGGGGUUACAAACAGUUUACAAACAUCAUGUGUGGGCACAGCUCACUGCAAAAAGGAAAGGAACAGUUAUUAAUACAGAGAAGUUACUUAUUGAACCAUUUUCCUACA